CAUUGUGAGUGCCCUGAUAUGAGCCAAUUACUACAUCUAAAACUAACUCCAACAAGAAUGACCUAAACAACAUACCCAUUUUAUGAUUUGCGUCCUUCACAUAAAAAAACACAACACCCAAAACUGUCCGCCUCCAACAGUGAACCCAACGUAAAAAAAACAGAGCCUAACACCACCCGCCUCCCUCACCAAUCCCGUCCGAGUGCCGCUCGCCUCCCACCCC
rnacentral:lncRNA from 1 species